rnacentral:misc_RNA from 1 species
UCCGAGUUGUCCCUGGUAGUCCACGCCCUAAACGAUGAAUGCUCGAUGUACGCCCGAUUUUGGGCGUGCGUCCAAGCGAAAGCAUUAAGCAUUCCACCUGGGGAGUACGGCCGCAAGGUUAAAACUCAAAUGAAUUGACGGGGGCCCGCACAAGCGGUGGAGCAUGUGGUUUAAUUCGACGCAACGCGAAGAACCUUACCAGGCCUUGACAUCCUUGGAACUUAGCAGAGAUGCUUUGGUGCCUUCGGGAGCCAAGUGACAGGUGCUGCAUGGCUGUCGUCAGCUCGUGUCGUGAGAUGUUGGGUUAAGUCCCGUAACGAGCGCAACCCUUGUCCUUAGUUGCCAGCGCGUAAUGGCGGGAACUCUAAGGAGACUGCCGGUGACAAACCGGAGGAAGGUG